UACGGGGGGGAGCAAGCGUUGUUCGGAUUUACUGGGCGUAAAGGGCGCGUAGGCGGCCAGCGCAAGUCAGUUGUGAAAUCUCCGGGCUUAACUCGGAAAGGUCAACUGAUACUGCGCGGCUAGAGUGCAGAAGGGGCAACUGGAAUUCUCGGUGUAGCGGUGGAAUGCGUAGAUAUCGAGAGGAACACCGGUGGCGAAGGCGGCCCGCUGGGCAGGAAGGCGACGCAAGUCGCCGGCUGACGCUGAGGCGCGACAGCGUGGGGAGCAAACAGG
rnacentral:rRNA from 1 species